rnacentral:rRNA from 1 species
UACAGAGGGUGCGAGCGUUGUUCGGAAUUACUGGGCGUAAAGCGCGCGCAGGCGGCCUUUUAAGUCUGACGGUGAAAUGCCGGGGCUCAACCCCGUGCCCGCCGGAGAUACUGGGAGGCUGGAGACGAGUAGAGGCAAGCGGAAUUCCGGGUGUAGCGGUGGAAUGCGUAGAGAUCCGGAAGAACACCGGAGGCGAAGGCGGCUUGCUGGGCUCGGACUGACGCUGAGGCGCGAAAGCGUGGGGAGCGAACAGG